AUUGAACGCUGGCGGCAUGCUUUACACAUGCAAGUCGAACGGUAACAGGCCGCAAGGUGCUGACGAGUGGCGAACGGGUGCGUAAUGCAUCGGAACGUGCCCAGUCGUGGGGGAUAACUACUCGAAAGAGUAGCUAAUACCGCAUACGAUCUAUGGAUGAAAGCGGGGGACCGUAAGGCCUCGCGCGAUUGGAGCGGCCGAUGUCAGAUUAGGUAGUUGGUGGGGUAAAGGCUCACCAGGCCAACGAUCUGUAGCUGGUCUGAGAGGACGACCAGCCACACUGGGACUGAGACACGGCCCAGACUCCUACGGGAGGCAGCAGUGGGGAAUUUUGGACAAAGGGCGCAAGCCUGAUCCAGCAAUGCCGCGUGCAGGAAGAAGGCCUUCGGGUUCUAAACUGCUUUUGUACGGAACGAAACGGCUCUGGUUAAUACCCGGGGCUAAUGACGGUACCGUAAGAAUAAGCACCGGCUAACUACGUG
rnacentral:rRNA from 1 species